AAUUUCCGGUCAGUAAACGUCAAAACAGUCAAAUGCUUACUGUGGCAUAGUGACGGUGGUAUGCAUGUGCAAGUUUUCUUUGCUUGUGGAAGCGCUGCUCGGAACAGAUUUGAUGUGACGACGAAAGUACUUGAUUAACGUUAGUGGUGUUGUGAAAACACACGAAGUGUACAAUGAAUAGUGGCAAUACAUCAUGACCUUGUCAGGUUCCUUUGUCUUUCUCCCUGGUCAUAUGUAUAAAACAUAAAUCUGCAAGACGAACUGCUCAUUAGCAUAAUGGCAUAUGGAGGAAGGGGAAGAGGCGGCAGACGAGAUGGGAGAUGGAUUGAUAGCUCGCUCCUCCAUCAGUACCACGAUGAAUCGCAAGGCUUUCAUCAACCAGAUGAUGCACUUUCUGCUUGGAUCAAACAACUAAUCGAAAUGUGGCGUCGAUGGAAGAAGAGCGAUGCUGUAAGACAAAUGCUGCACAAUUGUUUUGCUGCUGCUGGUAACCCCUAUAUUACAGCUCUUCAGAUAAUGUUAAAUAGUGAAGAUUUCUACCAAGCUAAAACUAACUCUUUAGCAUAUACAGUAAUGGAAGAAUUUUCUGUAUGGUUGGAUAAUCAUAGGCAGUACCUGGAUGCUUGUUUAACAAGAGAAUUGAAAUUUGAAGCAUUUUUAGCUGUGCAAAUGCAAAGAAAUCACAAGUUGGUUAAACUUGUAUAUGCUACAUAUGAAAUGGCCCAAGAUAGUGAAAUUUUUUAUGAUGAAAUCAUGAAAAUGGUUUCAAAACGACUGUACAAAGAGGCUUGCCAGAGUGCAACACUUCUGAAAUUGCAUGAUUAUUUUGCAAUAGAAGACUUCAUUAUUCCACUAGCACUUCAAGAUAAAAUGUCAAUUGCUGAAGAAUUUUUGUCAGGUUCUGUUCCACACCAGAAAAAAGUAGUAAUAUUCCUUGACAAACUCUUGGAAAAGAGAGCACUCAGAAAUGAAGUGGAUUCAAUAGCUGUUAAAUUAAAAGUACCAGAUGUUAAGUUGGAUAAGUUUCAUUACAAACCACUUAGCAAACUUGUGGGGAGAUUAGUCAAAAUGUACAAUCUUCCGGAAGAAAUUUGCCCAAAUCUCAAUCAGAGGAGAAAUGAAGGUGCACUGCAGUUCCUACUUCACAAAAGAUAUCAAGAUAAUAGUUUAGGUACUGAUAGCUGGCGAGAAAUGGUACGAGAAGCAGUACAAGAUGAUGUACGUUUACAAGAAGAGCUUAUUGUUUUAGUAAAUUUAGCAAACGAUCCAGAAGAAGCUCUGUACUGGACUAACUAUUAUAACAUCCCACAGAGUAAAUGGCCUGAAAAUGUAAGAAUAUAUUCACAGGAAAGGAAGUUAAGGCUUCAGCGUGAAAAAUCUGAAGAAACUGAAGAAAAUUGGGACAACAGUUUAAUUACGUAUCAUCAACUAGCUUUACCCUUUGACAGUAUUAUAUUUGUAGAUUCUGAUGAGAAGCUGCAACUUUUUAUUGAAUCAGUAAAGAAAAAUCAUAAUAUGCAUAGAAUUGGAAUUGACUGUGAAUGGAAACCCCGCUUUGGCACAAAGCAGCUCACAUUGGCUCUGAUGCAAAUAGCUACUUCCGAAAACGUAUAUAUUUUGGAUGUAAUAAGGAUUGGAUUGCAUUACAAGGAAUUGUGGGAAGAGCUUGGACGAAUCGUUUUUUCAGAUGAAAGCAUCAUGAAAUUGGCAUUCUCGUAUGUGGGAGAUAUGGCUAUGAUCAAAAAUUCAUUGCCACAUUUGUACCCUUUCCUGGAAGAACAUUGUGAGUUAUUGGAUGUGUCACUUGUUUGGCAACAAUUGGUGAAGAAACACUCUAUUAUUUUCCCAUACAAUGGAAGUGAAAACACAAGUGGGGAGAGUUUGUCCCGGUUAGUGGAAUUGUGCAAAGGACAUCCUUUAGACAAAUCUGAUCAGUUUUCCAACUGGGAGCAGAGGCCGCUGCGUAGAGGACAACUAGUAUAUGCAGCAUUGGAUGCUUACUGCCUGUUGGAAGUUUUUGAUGUGAUGGAACAGUGUUGUGCAGAACAAGGUAUUCCAUUCUUGGAAAUAUGUAAUAGCAUAAUACAAAUGUUGAAGUCACCUAAGAAGGUUCCAAAAUCUACUAAGAAGACUCAAAAGGAAAUUGCUGAAUCACCACUUAUAAUGGGACCACCACCAUUUACAGAACCAGUUCCUGCACGUUCUUUGCGAAUCGUGUGUGAUAUGAUGGUUGCUGGAUUAGGACUACAGCUCCGUAUGUGUGGAAUAGAUACUGUAAUACUCAAAGCUGGUCAAAACUAUGAUCAGUGUGUCAGAAUUGCUAUGAAUGAAGAUCGUAUGGUGAUCACUAGAGGAAAAAACAUAUACAGACAAAUGAGCCAGCAUCUACCUAUGGGUCACUGUUAUCUUGUUUCUGAAGGAAAUUUAGAGAAACAGUUGAAAGAGGUGUUGGAGUACUUCAAUGUUACAGUUACAAAGAAAGAUGUUUUUAGCAGGUGUAAAGGGCUGACUCUUACAUUCCAUAAAUAACAGUACUGACUCCAAAGAAACAACUGAUCAAGAUGCAUAGCAGAGUAUCGAACUGGGCUACAAAAGGUGGUGAGAUACCAACAGUACCUCUGAAUGGAGUCCAGAUUUGUAAUGGAGACACAUUUAUUAAAGUAACUAGGAAUACAAUGCAGCAAUUGGCUGAAAAUUAUCGCCGCCUUUCGUACACUGUACCUGAAGAAGCUGAAGCUGAAGAUGAAGAAGAAGUAGAAGUUGAAGAAGCGG
rnacentral:misc_RNA from 1 species